rnacentral:tRNA from 1 species
AGGUCCUUAGCUCAGCUGGCAGAGCAGGUGACUCUUAAUCAUCAGGUCGCGGGUUCGAUCCCCGCAGGGCCUA